rnacentral:rRNA from 1 species
CAUAGGUUAAUGAGGCGAACCGGGGGAACUGAAACAUCUAAGUACCCCGAGGAAAAGAAAUCAACCGAGAUUCCCCCAGUAGCGGCGAGCGAACGGGGAGGAGCCCAGAGCCUGAAUCAGUGUGUGUGUUAGUGGAAGCGUCUGGAAAGGCGCGCGAUACAGGGUGACAGCCCCGUACACAAAAAUGCACAUAUUGUGAGCUCGAUGAGUAGGGCGGGACACGUGGUAUCCUGUCUGAAUAUGGGGGGACCAUCCUCCAAGGCUAAAUACUCCUGACUGACCGAUAGUGAACCAGUACCGUGAGGGAAAGGCGAAAAGAACCCCGGCGAGG